rnacentral:rRNA from 1 species
CAGCAGUAGGGAAUCUUCCGCAAUGGACGAAAGUCUGACGGAGCAACGCCGCGUGAGUGAUGAAGGCUUUCGGGUCGUAAAACUCUGUUGUUAGGGAAGAACAAGUGCUAGUUGAAUAAGCUGGCACCUUGACGGUACCUAACCAGAAAGCCACGGCUAACUACGUGCCAGCAGCCGCGGUAAUACGUAGGUGGCAAGCGUUAUCCGGAAUUAUUGGGCGUAAAGCGCGCGCAGGUGGUUUCUUAAGUCUGAUGUGAAAGCCCACGGCUCAACCGUGGAGGGUCAUUGGAAACUGGGAGACUUGAGUGCAGAAGAGGAAAGUGGAAUUCCAUGUGUAGCGGUGAAAUGCGUAGAGAUAUGGAGGAACACCAGUGGCGAAGGCGACUUUCUGGUCUGUAACUGACACUGAGGCGCGAAAGCGUGGGGAGCAAACAGGAUUAGAUACCCUGGUAGUCCACGCCGUAAACGAUGAGUGCUAAGUGUUAGAGGGUUUCCGCCCUUUAGUGCUGAAGUUAACGCAUUAAGCACUCCGCCUGGGGAGUACGGCCGCAAGGCUGAAACUCAAAGGAUU